AGAAAAUGAAGUGGAACUCUGUCAUAAUUACUGAAAAUCGAGUAAACACAUUUUGUAUGAGUGCUAACUCAAGUGUAUGAUAAUUUUUAUGAAUACUCUAUUAAAAGCAUAUAUGAUAACACUUUCAACUUUCCAGAAGAGCCAUGAUCAAAUUAAGUUCCCAUUCCUUGGAAAAUUUUUGGCCCAGGUCUGGCUUGACUAUUCCCAUCUCUAUUGUCAGGCUGAUCUCCACAUGUGUAAGCAAUCUCUGGAAAGACCUGGAAUAGUACUGCUAUUUAGUAAUUAUAUGAUGUUUAAUCAUAAUAGAAACUAACUAGAACAAGCUGCCCAUCCUGCGGAGGAGUUAGCUGGAUUGUUGCUGAGGUGUUGUGGAUUGUGAAGAUGGAGAUUGACAGGCCAGACCCGGACCCAUGAUAAAUAUUUUCAAGGGAUAGGAUCUGAGAUCCGAAUUCGGGUCCUCCAGAUUGGAAAGCUGAAGUGUUUCCAUGCAGCCAAUCCAGCCAAUACUCUACAAGUUUAGAUUGGUUGCAAUUCAUAGAAUAAGUAUAAAUAUAAACAUAUAAAGCUGUUUGAAUUAGGAAUUAUAAGUAAAUACCAUGAACUGCAACCAAUCUAAACUUCUAGUGCAAAGUAUGAGAUAUUUCACAGCUGGCAGUUUUGAUAUAGACGCUGACUAUGAGAUCUCGUAGUUGGCAAAAAAUAGGUUAAUUCAUAUAAAUUUACAUUAUUGAAAAUUAAUGCCAAAAAAUUCCAACACUUUCAAUAUGAAAUUUCAUAUAACUAGAUUGGUUGUCAUAUUCUUUAACAAAAGCAAAGUCAGAG
rnacentral:lncRNA from 1 species